UGGGGAAUUUUGCACAAUGGGGGAAACCCUGAUGCAGCGACGCCGCGUGAUUUAGAAGGCCUUCGGGUUGUAAAAAUCUUUUCUAUGGGAAGAAAAUGACAGUACCAUAGGAAUAAGGACCGGCUAAUUACGUGCCAGCAGCCGCGGUAAUACGUAAGGUCCGAGCGUUGUCCGGAAUCAUUGGGCGUAAAGGGUACGUAGGCGGGUAAGCAAGUUAGAAGUGAAAUCCUAUAGCUCAACUAUAGUAAGCUUUUAAACUGCUCAUCUUGAGGUAUGGAAGGGAAAGUGGAAUUCCGAGUGUAGCGGUGAAAUGCACAGAUAUUAGGAGGAAUACCGGUGGCGAAGGCGACUUUCUGGCCAUAACCUGACGCUGAGGUACGAAAGCGUGGGUAGCAAACAGG
rnacentral:rRNA from 1 species